rnacentral:lncRNA from 1 species
CGGGGGCGGCGGGGGAGCCCAGCGCGCCGCGGGGCCCGCUCGGCGUCGCCCUGCAUGGCUGGGGUCCCUCGCGGGGCUGGCGCGGCCUCCGGGAAGUUCCCGCCAGGGAGCCGGCCCCCUCCUUUCCUGGGUUGGAUGCAGAGACUCCCUGGGACCCAGAUGCCUUCCCUCCCUUCUCUUUCAAAGAAUUUUGGGUAUCGCUGCAAAGUCAAGGGAGCCGAGGCCUGGGAAAGACAGAUAACCAGCGUGAAAGCAUCUUCUGUUCGUCCGCGAUGCCACCCUCACUGGGUUCGCAAUGUAUGAUGUCUUCUGGUCCUUGCAAAAUCACCCCAGAACAUCAUUUUAGUAUUGAGACAUUUUUAGAACUUUGAGAUACUUAUCCUUUGGUGUUUUCAAUGCAUCCCUAAGCCCCUAACUUAAUUACAAGUGAAAUGCUAAAGUAAACUACGGUUUGCAAUGAACGCGGCUCCUAAUUUUCUUAAUUAAAUCUUAUUUACCCAAUUUCGUUGAAUGAAGGUUUAUGCUAAAGGGUGGCUUUUUAUUUUAAUCUAAAAAAAUUGGCUUCAGAACUGUAUUUUAUGCAGACAUUGGAAAGUUGAGCAACUGCCUGCUGGAAGUGUUGAGUGUAGCCAGAGAUAAUUCGGACAAAAAUCUUCGUUUUGUUAAGUACAGGCAUUUUUGGUUAGAUUUGAUAUUCCACAAUGUCAUGUUUAAUGUUUAUUGAAAAGAAUCAUGAUUAUGUCAAAAUAACUUAGCUUUAAUGGUCUGAAAUAGGAUUUUUCUUACCAGGACUAGCAGAAGGCCUAAGAGGAGAGUUUUCUUUGUUACUGAUGAACAGUAUGGUGACAGUCUUUGAAUUGUAGCAAUGGGCUUCUGGUUAUACAAAAAAUGUUUAUAUAUUUUAAGCUCUGUAAUUUUAAGUUAUGGCCCUUAAGAAAAAAAAAAAAGUCUGAUUUCUAGAAAACGAGAUUUCCAGUGUGCAUUUGAGGGAUUUUGAGGGAUAAGGUCACUUCCCCAUCAGAUCUUUUUGAGAUGGAUUUUGGCGUGGACAGUAUUUAUACCCGUUGAUUUCCUAGAGUUACUGACUUUGAGAAAGAAAAGUGUUUUUAGUCCAGUUUAAUGUUGGUGAAUGGGGCCAGGUGGGUGUGGUAAAUUAGUGAGGCAGAUUAUUCUCUCUCUUUCUGUUGAUAGCAUUGAAAUCCAGAUAUUCAUGCUUUACAUGGCUUGUCUCAUAUAACUUCUCCAAUUACUCUGUGAGUCAUUAUCAUCGCCAGUGUUUUUUUAACAGGUCAGGAAACUGGUACAAAUUGGUUAAGUAACUUGUUCAGGUUCACCAGCUGGAAAUGGAAGAGCCAGGAUCUGAACCAUGGUAGUCUGGAUCCAAGGCUUAUGUCCUUAACCCCAGCUACUCUACACUUCUCCCCUUACUGCUGUGUUCUUUCUGGCCACAUCUAACAGCCUCCCUAAAGUACAGACAUUUCUGGCAUCAAAGAACAAUUCAGUGAUCCAUUUCAAGCAUGCAGCCCUAUUUUCCUAGUGGUGAAAAUGAAUGAGGACCACCCAAAUGAGAACAAACAAAAGCUAUUUUUUUCAAAGCAAGGGAGCCAGCACCAUUGCUUGUGUUUGGCAGAGACUCAAAAGCAGACAGAGGAUGGAGGAGGGUGGGAGAAGAAGGCUUCAGCUGUGUCCUGAUUGGAGGCUGUUGAUAUGGGGAAGCUGUAGUUGAGCUACCUAAAAGGGGGUAUUUUGUGUGUUUGUUUAGGGGUACAUAAUUGGCUUUCUCUGGUUGGCCCUAAGUUGGAAGUAGGAGCAAAAAUUGAGGAAGUGGUCAGUAAUUAUUCAAGUCCUGGCCAUUUGAGACAGGUUGCUACAGGGGUUCUUGUUUGGCUGCCUGGGCUAGUUGCUACAGUUUAACCCAGUUACUGAUAGUUUAACUUGUUAGAUACUGUAGACGGUAGGUUGGUUUCUUGGACUGGUUGAUGUACAUUGCCUGCAGAGUUCUAUUUUUAUAUAUAAGCUGGCCAUUGUCCCUUUGUGUAUUCAUUCUCUCACAGGGAAAGGGUCUAAAAUGUUUACUCCAUGAUACUUCAGCUGUAAUUCAUUGUGCAGGUGGUCAUGCCUACUGACUGCCUGGACUACUGAGCUGGCCCUGACCAGGUGCUGCACAAGUUCUUGGCUCAGCAAGAAGGCAAGGCUAGCCCAGUUCAGGGUGUUGAGGCAACUGCCUGUGCUAAACAUGCCGAGUUUUCCUGUGGGCACAGCGAAGGGAGAAAGAGGGGAAGAGGUGCAGGUAGGGAAAACUUGACCUUCGAGAGGGGAAGGAGAGUGACAGAGGACUGAAUCAAAGAGGCAGUCCUUUGUAUGCUCAGGACAGCUGACAGCCCAAGCUUAAAUGUAGAAAACAACUGUAAUAUACUAAGUAAAGCUCUCUCGAGCCGAUCGUGAUUCUUGAUGACGGUGAGUGUCAGGUUAUGUUUACAAAGGCAGCUCAUAUAGCAGCCUAUAUGAUAUGACCAGUGUGUGCAGGAUAAGGUAAGCCAGUCAUUCACAAACACAAAUCACCUAUGCAGUCUUUUAAAUACACAGAUGCAGGUCCCACUCCUAGAGCUGCUGAUUCAGGAAGUCUGGGUUGAGGGUCCAGCUUCUUUCAUUUUUUGUCAAGCCCCAGGAGUGAGUCUGAGGCACAACCUGAUUGGAUCCCAUUCAGGAUACCACAUUACAUUUAUUUGUCGUAUCCUCUGGCUCUUCUUGGCUGUGAUGGUUUCUCAGACUUUCCUCGUUUUGAGGAGUAUUGGUUGGAACUUAUCCACUAUUUUGUAGACUGUUCCUCAACUGCGAUUUGUCUGAUGUUUUUCUCAUGAUCAGACUGAGGUUAUGGAUUUGGGGGAGGAAAACCAUAAAGUACUGACCUGUAUCCAGGGUCGGUACUAUUUACAGGAGUUAUCACUGCUUAUGUUAACCAUGGCUGAGAUGGCAUCUGUCAGAUAUCUGCCCUGUAAAAUUACUUCACUUCCCUCUCUUUCUGUUUCUUACUUUUUGGAAGGAAGUCACCAUAUGCAGUAGAGCCUGCUUUUUUUGUGUUGCUGUUGUUGUUUUGGAGACGGGAUCUCACUCUGUCAUCCAGGGUGAAGUGCAGUGGCACAAUCACAACUCACUGCAGCCUCGACCUCCCAGGCUCAAGUGAUCCUUCCCACCUCAGACUCCCAAAUAGCUGGGACUGCAGGCACAUGCCACCACACCUGGCGAAGUUUUUGUAUGGAUGGGGCCAGGCUGGUCUCAAACUCCUGGGCUCUAGCAAUCCUCCUGCUUCAGCCUCCCAAAGUGCUGGGAUUACAGAUGUGAGCCACCGCUCCCAGGUAAGCCUGGUUUUUUGACCACUGUGUUAUUUCUGUCACAAGUUAGUUAGACAAUGUUAUGUCUAGCUCUCACUUCUCUAAGCUAACACCCCACUGCUCUGUUCCUCUUUGUGGUAAUAUUCCUCAAAAGGGCUAUUUAUACUCCAGGUCCUCCAUUUUUCCUUGAACCCCUCCAGUCAGGGUUUCACCUCCCACCGCUCCAUUGAAAGUCCUGUCAUCUGAAGUCACUACAGCUAAAUCCAAUGGUUGGUUCAAAGUUUUGAUCUUAUUUGAUAUAGUUGAUCACUCCUUUCUCCUUUCUUCUUGAAGUGCUUUCUCCGCUCUAGAACGUUACAUGCCCCUGCCGGACGCGGUGGUUCACGCCGGUAAUCCCAGCACUUUGGGAGGCUGAGGCGGGUGGAUUGCUUGUGGUCAGGAGUCCGAGACCAGCCUGGACAACAUGGUGAAACCCCGUCUCUACUAAAAAUGCAAAAGAUUAGCCGGGCGUGGUGGCAGGUGCCUGUAAUCUCAGCUACUUGGGAGGCUGAGGCAGGAGAAUCCCUUGAACCUGGGAGGCCAAGGUUGCAGUGAGCCGGGAUCACACUACCGUACUCCAGACUGGGCGACAGAGCGAGACUCCUCU